UACGUAGGGGGCAAGCGUUGUCCGGAUUUAUUGGGCGUAAAGAGCGUGUAGGCGGCUUUACAGGUCCGUUGUGAAAACUCGAGGCUCAACCUCGAGACGCCGGUGGAAACCGUAAAGCUAGAGUCCGGAAGAGGAGAGUGGAAUUCCUGGUGUAGCGGUGAAAUGCGCAGAUAUCGGGAGGAACACCGGUGGCGAAGGCGGUUCUCUGGGCCUUACCUGACGCUGAGGAGCGAAAGCGUGGGGAGCGAACAGG
rnacentral:rRNA from 1 species